AACUUAAAUAUAGUAAACUGUAGUAAAACUGCUAGAUCCUAUUACGUUUUUGAAACUUUGCCUAACAUAUUAAAUAUUAAAAUAAAGUAUUUACGUGUGCAACGGUUAUCGAUUCACUAUAGCUAAUACAACAUACAGUAUUUUAACAAUUUGUAAUAAUUUCUGUAAUAUAUUACAGUACGGCAGUAUUUGUAAUUUAAACAACAAUAUUGUAAUUAAUCUGCAAUCAAAUUUAUAACUCUCCUUUUGGGCAUAUAUAUUUUAGUUGUGUAAGACUUCCAUCAUCCAAUCAGAGGCUGCAAAUUUAAAUUUGGCGCACUUGCGUCCUAACGGCUGUGAGUGGCGGUACUAGUGCGAGCAGCAGAGCCAGAGCGGGAGUUUUCAAACUCCAGUGGAUUCCUAUGGUAGCCAGGCAGGCACCGCGGGAAACAUCUCUGAGAACAGCAGUGAGCAGUAGCGUGCGAGUGACAGUGAAGAAAUUUCUUCCGCUCCGAUGGAAAUAUAUGACAUGUAGGCUACAUUUAAAGCGCCAAUCCUUUUGAAACUGUGAGGAAAACAACGCGCCUUUAGCGCCUGCUUCACUAUACUCGUCACCAUGUCAGUCAGAGCAACCGACCGCCGGAUGAGGUUCUAGGGAUCUAAUGCUUGUGAUAAUCUACAGCAGAUGACCAUGACAAUCCAGGUUCUGGGGAUCUAAUGCUUGUGAUAAUCUACCGCAGAUGACCAUGACAAUCCAGGUUCUGUGGAUCGACUGCUUGUGCUAAUCUACCGCAGGUGACCAUAACAAUCCAGCAGAUAACUUCAGGAUUUAUAGAAGGCAUAUAAUGACAGUGAGCGGGACCAAAACUCUGACAAUCUAAGUCACCUAUAGGUAGCAUAAGUAAUCUAUAUGACUCAAGUUGCACAAAUAAUGUCUAGAUGUGUAACGAAUACCUUGCAUGUACAGAGCUAUGUUCUGAAUCUGAUAUACUCCGCUUGUAUUCCCACUGUCAGAUGAACAUUUUAAAAAAUAAAUAUUUUUGCAUUUCCCCAGAAUGUCUUUUUCUGUUUCAUUGAAGGUACAAAAUAAAGUACUGUUUUUUAAUAUUGCGUAUUUAUUUUACAUGUAAAGAAUUUAACAGGAAAUUAUUGUAGGCCUGUGACCUGAUAGAUUCAAAUAACUGCUAAUUACUUUUAAUUAACAGUAUUGUAGGUUUUAAAUGUAGCUACUUUUGGUGUAUUUUAAUAAUAUAUAUCUUUAUUAUAACUGGUAAAUGUACAGACA